UUCGUAGAUUCGAUACGGUGCAAUAAACUUACAAUUUGCACUCGGCCGUACACGACCAGCAAAAAGAAUUGCAAUCAAGGUCUCUCGCUCCUCUCUCUCUCUCUCUCUACACACCACCGAAUCCGAUUGAUCGACGGGAAGAUCUGAAGAAUCCCAUCACAAAUUUCGUGAUUGAAGACAUGAGAGUUUGAGAAUUUUUGGGGACAGACGACCACGGUUUUUACUCUGCCAUGGCUGAUUAUUCGAAGGAAGAUUUGGUGCAGCUGCUCAGGAGAUUUGGGGCUUAUCUCAGCUUCAAGAUGUCCAAUCUCUUCCCGAUCUCCCUCCGAAAUAUGGAUUCAAGAUCAGUUGGGGCUAUAGCAGGGCUUGCUGUUGCAAUAGUUUUUACGUGGAGACUAUUGAGAUCACCCAGUGGAACUCAAAGAAGGCAACCUAAACGGCAAACUCCUACACCUAGUAGUUCUGGCGUAAACACUCAAUCUAAUGCAAAUUUGAUAUCUUCUGGAGUUUGCUCAUCUUCAGAAGACUCAAGGGCACAGAAUGUUAUUGAUGAGUUAUUUGAGCCCGUCAAGCCAACAUUGGGCCAAUUAGUUAGGCAGAAGUUGAGUGAAGGAAGGAAGGUAACAUGCCGGUUGCUUGGCGUAAUACUUGAGGAAAGUAGUCCAGAGGAGCUUCAGGAGAAACAAGCAACUGUGAGAUCCUCUGUGCUGGAAGUACUGCUGGAGAUCACAAAAUACUGUGACCUUUAUCUCAUGGAAAGAGUUCUCGAUGAUGAAAGUGAAAGCAAGGUUCUCCAUGCUUUAGAAGAUGCUGGGAUUUUCACAUCUGGCGGUUUGGUUAAAGACAAGAUCUAUGGCAAGGCAAGGAAGCAAGAUAGCUACAAAAGAAGACGUUCAAAAACUGCAGCAUCAAUUUUCUCGACCGAGCACUCUAUUAGAACAAUAUGGAAUCAUUUCUUCUCCGAUUCUGGACAGUAGGAGAGAAAGGGAUCAGCAAAUUGAUGCAUGUGAAAGAAACAGAAAUCUUCUUAGAGCACUAAGAAAAAAUAAGGUUACUCCAAUCAACGUUGGAGCCUAGAUUUCUAAAGGGAACUCUUGGAAAUGCCUUGUAGAAGCUUAAAAUCUGAUAAUAUCUCAAAGUAUAUUGAUAAAGACUUGGUUCGGCAGAUACAUAGGGCUGUCCCUUUUAUGAGACAAGUAUUAAUGACACUUACUCUAGACUUUUCACAAAACAUUAAUGACAACUUCUACUGUUCCAAUGACUUUUCAGAUUCCCAUAUCAUAACUACUACUUAAUAGACUUUGACUAAACACUUUUCAAGACACUAUUAACUGCCUCAAUCCUGACUAGAGACGCUAUUAAGUAUUAGUAUCAUAUAUGCCAGUAUUUUUUAACUUGCAUGUAAAUACACAUUUUAUACGCGUAGUGCACGCAACUUAACUAACUGGGCUCUAGACCUAUAAUGGGGCAAGAUUCAUUUCAGGGAAAUAUGUCUCCCGCUGAUGCUGCCAGUUCAAUUCUUUCACUCUGAGCAUGUCUGAAGUGGAAGGUCUUGAAAAUUUAUAGAUUUCCUCUCUUGAAAACUAACGGCAUUUGAUGGUUCAUACCACUGAAAAUUCUUGAAGAUUCUCUUGUUCCAUAUAUUCCCAGAUAAGCAGCACUUCAUAAUUUUUGAAGAAGCUAACCCUGAGGGUUCAUGUCCUCAUUGGGGCAAAGUGGGUGUGUGAGUUUUAAAGAGAGAGAGAGGUAGAGAUGGGGGACAGGUAAAGAACUGAAUUAUACUUGCACAAAUAUUACAAUGAAAAGAAAGCAUGCUUCCUCGAUUCUUCAAGGACCUAGCCAAGAUAUUCCUUUCAAACUUUUGUUGCAAUGGCCACUUUCCCUUCCUGUAAGACAAAGGGAAUUCCCCAAUAGAAUGAAACCUACAUUGCAAUUAUCUUACUAGAAAUGGGUCAUUUAGAGCCACUGUAAUUACUUGGUAUGCCCGCCUUUCAUUCUAUUCCCCUUUUGUGCUUCUUUAAUUGAUGUCUAUAUAGAGUCCAGUUAUCCUGACUCACGCUUGUGGAGACCAUCAGGGCUGAAAUCUCCCUAGACUUGCUUCAAGGCAACAAUUAGAGCCCCUUGCUUAUCCAUUUCUAUGGAAGAAAGAUAGCAAGAGAAAAGACGGUUAUAAACAAUCUGCUGACGUAUACUGUUGUUCAGUAAUGGGUUCUCUUUUGUAGCACAGAGAAUGGGAGAACAUCCUUUGUUCGACAAUUGGAGCCUGAUUGGCAUAUUGACUCGAAUCCUGAAAUUGUUUCUCAGUUGGCG